GACGAACGCUGGCGGCGUGCUUAACACAUGCAAGUCGAGCGGGAAACUUCGGUUUCCAGCGGCGGACGGGUGAGUAACACGUGGGCAACCUGCCUCACAAUGAGGGAUAGCCUUCCGAAAGGAAGAUUAAUACCUCAUAACACAAGAGAAACGCAUGUUUCUCUUGCCAAAGAAUUUCGUUGUGAGAUGGGCCCGCGGCGCAUUAGCUUGUUGGUGAGGUAACGGCUCACCAAGGCUGCGAUGCGUAGCCGACCUGAGAGGGUGAUCGGCCACAGUGGAACUGAGACACGGUCCAGACUCCUACGGGAGGCAGCAGUGGGGAAUAUUGCACAAUGGAGGAAACUCUGAUGCAGCAACGCCGCGUGAGUAAUGAAGGUCUUCGGAUUGUAAAGCUCUGUCUUCUGGGACGAUAAUGACGGUACCAGAGGAGGAAGCCACGGCUAACUACGUGCCAGCAGCCGCGGUAACAC
rnacentral:rRNA from 1 species